UACGAAGGGAGCUAGCGUUGUUCGGAAUUACUGGGCGUAAAGCGCACGUAGGCGGCUUUGUAAGUUAGAGGUGAAAGCCUGGAGCUCAACUCCAGAACUGCCCUUAAGACUGCAUCGCUCGAAUCUAGGAGAGGUGAGUGGAAUUCCGAGUGUAGAGGUGAAAUUCGUAGAUAUUCGGAAGAACACCAGUGGCGAAGGCGGCUCACUGGACUGGUAUUGACGCUGAGGUGCGAAAGCGUGGGGAGCAAACAGG
rnacentral:rRNA from 1 species